CAAAAGAACAAAACAAAAUGAACCACACAAAACCCCCAAUCAACAAACCAAAAAAGAAAGACCCCAAACAUUAAAAGAACACCCCAAAACAAAAAGAAAACCCUGCUGUGGGCAGGCUGUCAUCUCCAUGGGGACACAGCAACCUGCUGAAGUGAGAGGGAAUGGAAAAACAUAAUUACUACUCUGGAACCAACAUGGAAGUAGAUCUGCCUGACACACCGGAGGAAAAAAGCUUGGGUUGUCUCUCAUGACAAGGAGGAGGGAAGAUGAAAGCUGAAGAACUGGGUAAAAGAGCUGACAAAGAAGUGUGUUUUCCUCUGCUGGAACUGGGAAAGGUGCACAAACUGACUUGCAAAGUGUCUGUCCUGAGGAUGUACAGGAGCAGAGCGGCGUGGAAAUACACAGCGUUUCUCUCUGCCUUGACAAUGACUCCUCAUGGUGAGGGCAAUGGGGGACAUCUGACACAUAUGCUGAGAAUGAAGAUGCAAAUAUUUACUCUU